CCUCAAAAUAGGAGCACCGUUGGAAUCCCCUGCCUACCUCCAGGCUCCAAACCACCCCACACUUAUACGGUGUCGCUGACCCUUAUCUCGGUUACCACAUUCUCCACCGUUCAAAGCCCGCCAUGGAUCUUCUCUACACAGCUUCUUCAUUCCGGGCCCUCCGUUCCACCCACACUCUUCGUUCCCGAUCCAUUACCUCUCUACCCACUUGCAGACGACUCUUGGAUGUAAGGGCGAGUCUGCCUUUUCCGAUUCAGAAAGGGAAGUAUUACAGAGAGCUCGAAGCUGCCGUGGACGUCGUGGAGAGAGCUUGUCGUCUUUGUGUGGACGUGAAAUCAUCUUUGUUCUCGAGUGAUGGACGAAGCUUUGAAAAGAAUGACCAGACUCCAGUCACGGUAGCAGAUUUCGGGGUGCAGGCUCUGGUUAGUUUGGAAUUGGGUAAACAGUUCCCUUCUAUUCCUUUGGUGGCUGAAGAAGAUUUGUCUUUUAUACAAUCAAAUAAUCUAGAAGAUUCUGUGGUAAAUGCGGUUACCGAUAAAGCAAGUGUUGAAGAUAAAUAUUGGACACAUGAUGAUGUACUAAAAGCAAUUGAUAGAGGAGGGAAGGGAGCUUUUGUAUUUGGCGCUAAGCCAGCCACAUAUUGGGUACUGGAUCCAAUAGAUGGCACCCGAGGAUUUCUAAAGGGAAGUGAUGCCUUAUAUGUGGUAGGUUUGGCCCUUAUAGUUGAAGGAGAUGUUGUGUUAGGUGUUAUGGGCUGCCCUAACUGGCGUUAUGGUUUUUCCAGUGAAUCCACUACUGAGGUCCAGAAAAACAGGGAAGACUUAUCAGCAUCUGGUAUCAUAAUGGUUGCUCAUAUUGGCUGUGGGACAUGGACAAAGAGGUUACCCAAUAUGCUGGAUAGCUGGACCAGAUGCUUCGUAGACGAUUGCUGCUUAGUACACAAGGCACGCUUUUGUAUUCCAGAAAGUCAAACAUGGGAGUCAUUGCCACUCUCAGCAACAUUCACUGCAACAGCUAAUGCCGACAGUAUUAAGGAUAAUCAGAUUCUUCUUUUUCCAGCAUGCUGUGGAAGCUUAUGCAAGUAUCUAAUGGUGGCUUCAGGCAGGACUUCUGUUUUUGUUCUUCGAGCCAAAAUUCAAAAAACUGUCAAGGCUUGGGAUCAUGCUGUUGGCAUGAUAUGUGUGCACGAAGCAGGGGGAAAGGUGACUGACUGGAAAGGUAGUCAGCUGGAUCUUGCUGCGGAUAAAAAUGGACGGAGAAUUAUAUUUCCUUCAGGAGGAGUGCUUGUGACUAAUGGCAAUUUACACAAUGAGAUUCUGGAGAUGAUCUCUUCCCUGUCAUCAACUGUUUGAUGGCAGAACCUCGCUGAUAUUGGAAAUCGCAUACAGAAGCUGCCUGGAGGAAACUAUGCUCAUGGACUUUCGAUGAUGUGUUAGGGAUCGAAGAACUCACGUACCCCCAGCUAGACGACAUCAAAUAGGCCAAGGAGGAGCCUAGGGGAGCUCAUAGAGUUGAUCCUCUUGCUUUUGGAUUUUAUUUUGGAAUUGAUAAUUGAGUUGUGCGAGUAACUUGGCAUUUAGAUUAGGUUUUCUUUUGUUUGUAACUAUGGAGUUCUGUCUCUAGUACUAUAUUAUUUUGCUUACAAACAAAUUGGACAAAUGUUAUGACUUUUGUUUAUGUGAAUAUUAAUGGAAAGUGUUUAUGUUUUGGGAU